GAAGUCUGUACAAUGAAAUUCUCCAGAGAACAUAGGUGAGAAGGAGGCCCCGGUACCACCCAGGAGUGACCCCUGUGCCCCGGGCACCCCAGGUCCAGAGUCCAUGGUGUUUAUCUUCACAGUGUACUUUGGGCACUCGUUAUCCAAUCUGCCCUUUGUACCACAGGCCACAAGUCCACUCAGGAGAGCUGAUAUAGGCAACACUUCACCUGACGUUGGACGUUGGUCCUGCUGACAGGUUGGGGUUUGGAUCUUGCGCUCCUGGUAUCAGGACCCCAGUUAUGAAUAAUUCCCAGUCCUGGCCAUGGAAGCUGGGGAUAUCCAAGAUACGAACAUUGAUGCCUUGUAAGACAAUGGAAUGGUGUGCAUCAUUAAAAAGAAAUGAGCUGUCAAGCCAUGGAGAGACGUGGAAGCAACUUCAGUGCUCAGCCUGACGUGAACGAAGGCAGUCUGACAGUCAGCGUGCGUGCGAUUCCAGCCCCGUGACCUGGGGAGCGGCACAGCAUGGAGACAGCCCGCAGACCAGAGGUGUCUACCUUCCCAUGGGUGGAGGUGAGUGAGAGAGAGGGAGGAAGGACCCAGGCAGGGGAAUCCUGGAAACCACCUGGAGACCUUCCCCCAGGUGGCUGCAGCUCCACCAAGCGGAGAAGUUGCCGGCCUCCCUCCUCCAGUUGCGCAUCGAGCUCCUGGGACUUUUGCUGGCAGCUCCCGUGGGCUGCGCAGGGCUCUGGGGGUCCCACUGCCUGGGGCGCACUCUGCUCACUUGGCCAGGGAACACGCAGGGCCGGGGAGAACUGCCUCCCCUGAGUACCACUACAUGAACAGGUGGAGUCAUCCCACCCGUGCAGCCAGGUAAGGCCACGUGUACCACCUGGAGCCUGUCUUGGGAGAAGGGAGGAGGGCCCUGAGGGAAGACCAGGCUCAUGGCAGGUCCCUCAUUUGGAGGCAAUGGAGAGAAGGGGGCAGGGAGUCAGAAAGACAGAGCCCAUGACCCAGGCCAGGGCUGUCCUUAAUGUCAUCAAUCACAGGCAGGUAUAUGAGUUUCGUUUGCUU